UAUGCUUUAAAAAUGCUUCAGUUUGUUAGUUCAUAACUAUCUUUUAGCUGUUAAAAGCAAAAACCAGCAAGCUGCAUGGUAGCAGGUUCAGACUUCAUUCAUCUCAGUGUAAGCCUAUUUGUUUGCCUCUACCACAGGCGGUGAUUACUUCUAACACUGCUUUUAAUAAAAAGUACUCCUCAUAUGCCAGUGAACUCAUGAGCCUGUUUCAAGUGACUCCCAUGAUGAAACUUUGCCUAGAGAGCCAAAGCAGCUGGAUGAACAAACGUGGGAAUGAAGGACCAAGUGUUAAGUCUUUGAACUUAAAGAUGUGAGCCUGGAGCCAUCAGCAGUCUGAGCAUAAUCUGAUCUACAUACAGCUCUACAGAUCCUCUCAUCUGGUACUGCACCAUUUAUUCAGUCCUGGAAAACUGCCCUUUACUGUGCACUGAAACAAAGAAAGACUAAUAGUGUUUAUUCAGUAUAGUGCCAUUGGUCACUAUAACUUACUUAGAGUAUUCAUGUGCUCCAAGCACCGUUCACGUGCAAUCCAGCUGCUCUGUGCAACAUGCUGGAAGGCCGCAGCUAACUGCACAGUUGUGGAGAAGGAAUGCAGUGACUCAGGACAAAAGCCCAGCUCUCCCAGAAAAUGCUGUGUGCUCUUGAAUGUUUACACAGAGCAGGUAAACCUUUUCUACUUGGCUGCUUCCAAGGACCAUCAGAUGGCCUCAUGACAAGGCAGAGGCCAGAAUUUUGGUUUUCUUCAGCCAAAAGGUAAAAAAGGCCUGACUCAACCACUGGUCCAGGUCCUGAAAUGCCAAGGAGUCUGUAGGUUUUUUUCAAACCUAAAACCAAGAGGCUUUCAAGAAGCACUGGUGUCUUCACACACACUUUAAAAACAACAAGGGAAAACCCCUAGC